rnacentral:sRNA from 1 species
GAGAAUGGAACCGGGUAGCCCAUGUGUAAGGCCUACAUAGACCCUGGCUUAUAGGAGGGCAUGCAUUCUACUCCUUUCCCAACUCAAUCUUCUCAAAAUAGGAUCAGGACCAUUUCCCAUCAACCCAGCAAGCCCCCUAUGACAUGCUGAUUUAGCCAGUGUACACAAUGAUGGUCCCCAAAGCCCAGUUCUGUCUGUCUCUCCCUGUGCACAGGCCAUAGACGAGGAUGCAGAGGAACCCAACAACCUGGUGGACUAUUCCAUCACCCAUGCAGAGCCCGCCAACGUGUUCGACAUCAAUUCCCACACGGGGGAGAUCUGGCUCAAGAAUUCCAUCCGCUCCCUGGAUGCCCUGCACAACAUCACACCUGGAAGGGACUGCCUAUGGUCCCUAGAGGUGCAGGCCAAGGACCGGGGCUCCCCAUCCUUCAGCACCACAGCCUUACUCAAGAUCGACAUCACAGAUGCUGAGACCCUCUCCCGGAGCCCCAUGGCUGCCUUCCUGAUACAGACCAAGGACAACCCCAUGAAGGCCGUGGGUGUGCUGGCUGGCACCAUGGCCACCGUCGUGGCCAUCACUGUCCUCAUCUCCACCGCCACCUUCUGGCGCAACAAGAAGUCUAACAAGGUCCUGCCAGUGCGGCGCGUGCUCCGCAAGCGGCCCAGUCCUGCGCCCCGCACCAUCCGCAUUGAGUGGCUCAAGUCCAAGAGCGCCAAAGCCGCUACCAAGUUCAUGCUCAAAGAGAAACCUCCCAAUGAGAACUGCAACAACAACAGCCCAGAAAGCUCCUUGCUCCCGAGAGCUCCGGCUCUCCCUCCAUCACCCAGCGUGGCGCCCAGCACUGGCGCAGCCCAGUGGACCGUGCCUACUGUCUCUGGCUCUCUCACUCCGCAGCCGACCCAACUCCCACCAAAACCCAAAACUAUGGGAAGCCCCGUCCAGUCAACUCUGAUCUCUGAGCUCAAGCAAAAGUUUGAGAAAAAGAGUGUGCACAACAAGGCUUACUUCUAGUGUGUGCCCUAUGACCCCCCAUCUUUCCUCCACCCCUGACCCCACCACCCUGCUGCUCGGACUAUGCUCCCCUUCCUCUGCUCCUUAAGGUCACCCCUGUUUUGUACAAUGGUAUAAUCCCCACUGUCCUCAUCAAUACCGCCACCUUCUGGCGUAACAAGAAGUUGCGCUCUGACAGCGCUCUAGUCAGGGCCUUGGGCAAGACAUUGGGCUAUAGGAUGCAAUUGGCAAAUACUUCCCCGUUACUCAAAUCCUUGGCACUACUACAAUGCCCUCCAUUCUUCAGGGCUGGGAAUUGACGAGAAGCCAGCUCUAUGUGUCUUCUACUCACCCAUCCCAGACCUCACAGUCCCUCAGGUUCUACUGGGAUCUCAUCAUCAUCCUUAGUCAAGCAGCAGGGCCCUGGCCACGUGGAGCAGCACUGACUAGAAUCUGGACCCUGACUCCUGCAGCUGAGAGCAGGAGCAGGAAAAGGAGGCUCAGCACUGUCUCAGGCUGGAGGUCAGCGAACCUCGUGGGCUGUAGGAAAGCAAAUAUAGGUAAGGGGAGAGCAAAGAUGCACAGAAAACACACUGACUGCGGGACUGUGCCGGGAUGCAUUUGGAAAGAUAGAGCAUUCUGUCUGGGCAGAGACUGUGGACCCUGGAAUGCCCACGUGGGACCAGGGACACAGGUGGAAGAUGGGCCUUGCCAAGAGUGAGGGCAGAUGUCUCCAGCCAGGACUGCCCUGAGCCCAAAAAUAUCAAAGCUGGAGCUAUAGAGGUAGCCCUAAAGGCAUCUAGAAGACCAUCAGGGCCACUCUCUGAGGAGCUGCCCCACCAGCCAUCCUUGAAGAGACAAUUCAGGGCAGUUGAUGAAUAUCAGGGCUGAGAUGCGGGGAGACUUCCAUUUUUAUCCAGCUCUUCUGCUCACAUCGCGUAACCUUGGGAAAGCUGUUUAAAGUCACUGAUCAUCCUCUUCCUCAUCUGUAAAUGAAAGUAAGCCCUGUCUGCCUCACUUGCAGGUGUAGGGUGAGGAUUGAAGAAAAUAGUGGUGAUGAGGGCUUUAACCAAGUGCAAAGCAACAUGAAUGCAAAGUAUUUCUCUGCAGCCCAGUUCUCUGGGUGCAGCUCUUCCAGAAAGUAUUAGGAGCCUCACAGCUACUCUGCCAGGCACCCCAGCAGGCACUGUGCUGGGUUUAGGGACUACCACUGGAUGAUGGCACUGCCGUAACUCACACACCUCUCCUUCCGUUCUUCCCUCACCCCAUCCCCACUGCUGUCCUGGCCAGCUACCAUCAGAGAGAACCAGAACUCCAGGUCUCCAAUUUGCCAAGAUGAAGAAAAUGAGUUCCCAGAAACAGGAAUGCUUUGCCUGAGGCCACACAGCAGGUUGGUAGCAAGGAUCUGGUGUAGCCAGGGCAGACCUCAUCAGCUUGUGACAACCUUCCCCAGGAGAGAAGUCAUACAAGGCCUCUGGAGUUAAUACAAAUAGGUUGUGCCCUCCUUUAAGGAAGCUGCUAUCAGGAAAUCUAGAUGUGUGCACAGAGAGAGAAAAGUAGAACAGUUCUUUGCAUUUGACUCUACUCACUAAUAACCCUUCUAGAAUACAAUGGUGAUUUUAUUUAAAGAGAUUGUAUGCACAUGUGGCUUUCCUGAUUUCUGAGUCUGUGUUUGGAGGUGUUACUGAGAUGUGCCAGUGUGCAGAAUCCUUGCUGGGGUUUCUACAGUCCCCAACUUGAACAGUAUUAAGCAAGAGGUGGACUUGAGCAAUCCAGGAGCCCAGACUGAGCAAACAAGUACUUUCCAGCCUGUGUUUCAGGAGAGGACUGUGCUGGACCGUGCUUCCCCUCCACAGGGAAUACAGCAUCCUUACAGCUUGCAUGCACUCGACCUCUUUUGUAAAUGGAAAAUAAAGUCUGUUACCCAAAGGCCAUGCUGAUCCCCUGCUCCCUGCUUUCAUUUGUGUUUGCUGACCUGUGGAGACCAGUCUUUCUGACACACAGCCAAGCUUAACUUGCCUCCUGGCUCCUUCAGGGGGUGGAUCCAUUCUUUGACCCCCAGAUCUGGCUCUAAAGAAGGCUGAAAAAUUUUGUCCAAAUUGCCAUGCAUAUAUCUUGAACAGCAGGACGUUUGUAGACCUUGUCUACUGGACUUUUCUCCCAAAUAGGACAAGCCCAGGCAGGGCUGCAUGGAGGGGAAUGGAACCUGGAACUAAUUAAUUGCCCACUCCCCCAUCCUACCAGUGCAGCCCGGCAAGGGCAGGAAUUGGGAAGCCUAGGGUGGGCAUGAAAUCUUGGGAAGCACUGUUGUCUCUCAGACAGGGGCCAUAAAGACCUCUGGGCUGGAAGCUCUGGCCUGCAAGUGGAUCCAGGACGGAGGGUGGUCUCUUGGACAACCCCAGGAACUUGAACCAAGGCAGAGCCAAUCUUGCAAACUGGCCAUGGAUGGGGAAGUGCCCAGUAGCCAGCAUGAGCCACAAUAGGAAAGAGGAGGAGGGUGCAGCCAAACUUAAGGCACUGGCAAGUGUGGUCAGCACUGGAGGAGACCCUGCCAGUGGGGUGAGGCCAGCCAAGUCCCUGUGUUAUGAACUGUGGGCCAAGGGGCUGCGUGCUCAGUACCAAUAGGACAGGCAGAGCUCCAGGCUGGCACCAUGGUUGGCCUCCAGGGAAAGAGCUUGCCCAUUCCUGGUCCUAAGACUGGAGCUGUAGCCUCAUGGACAAUAAACGGGUGUGACUCCAAG